rnacentral:rRNA from 1 species
UUUACUCGUACACGGUCGGUUCCUCCAACCAAUGUGAACGUUACCAAACUGUUGCCUCGGCGGGGUCACGCCCCGGGUGCGUCGCAGCCCCGGAACCAGGCGCCCGCCGGAGGAACCAACCAAACUCUUUCUGUAGUCCCCUCGCGGACGUAUUUCUUACAGCUCUGAGCAAAAAUUCAAAAUGAAUCAAAACUUUCAACAACGGAUCUCUUGGUUCUGGCAUCGAUGAAGAACGCAGCGAAAUGCGAUAAGUAAUGUGAAUUGCAGAAUUCAGUGAAUCAUCGAAUCUUUGAACGCACAUUGCGCCCGCCAGUAUUCUGGCGGGCAUGCCUGUCCGAGCGUCAUUUCAACCCUCGAACCCCUCCGGGGGAUCGGCGUUGGGGAUCGGGACCCCUCACACGGGUGCCGGCCCCUAAAUACAGUGGCGGUCUCGCCGCAGCCUCUCCUGCGCAGUAGUUUGCACAACUCGCACCGGGAGCGCGGCGCGUCCACGUCCGUAAAACACCCAACUUUCUGAAAUGUUGACCUCGGAUCAGGUAGGAAUACCCGCUGAACUUAAGCAUAUCAAUAAGCGGAGGAA